rnacentral:rRNA from 1 species
UAGGGAAUCUUCGGCAAUGGGGGCAACCCUGACCGAGCAACGCCGCGUGAGUGAAGAAGGUUUUCGGAUCGUAAAGCUCUGUUGUAAGAGAAGAACGUGUGUGAGAGUGGAAAGUUCACACAGUGACGGUAACUUACCAGAAAGGGACGGCUAACUACGUGCCAGCAGCCGCGGUAAUACGUAGGUCCCGAGCGUUGUCCGGAUUUAUUGGGCGUAAAGCGAGCGCAGGCGGUUGAAUAAGUCUGAAGUUAAAGGCAGUGGCUUAACCAUUGUUCGCUUUGGAAACUGUUAAACUUGAGGGCAGAAGGGGAGAGUGGAAUUCCAUGUGUAGCGGUGAAAUGCGUAGAUAUAUGGGGGAACACCGGUGGCGAAAGCGGCUCUCUGGUCUGUAGCUGACGCUGAGGCUCGAAAGCGUGGGGAGCAAACAGG